UGAGCAAGCACCCAUAGUCCAGCCCA
rnacentral:piRNA from 1 species